AUUUUACUCCCUCCGUCCCAAAUUUUUUGUCUUAGAUUUAUCUAGAUACAGAUAUAUCUAAUACUAAAACGUGACUUCAUACAUUCCUAUUUAAACAAAUUUAAGACAAGAAUUUUAGGAUGAAGGGAGUAUUUU
rfam:Triticum urartu cultivar G1812 contig574934, whole genome shotgun sequence.